rnacentral:rRNA from 1 species
AACGCGAAGAACCUUACCUGGGCUCGAAAUGUACAGGAAUCCGGUGGAAACAUCGGCGCCCAGCAAUGGGCCUGUAUAUAGGUGCUGCAUGGCUGUCGUCAGCUCGUGUCGUGAGAUGUUGGGUUAAGUCCCGCAACGAGCGCAACCCUUACCUCCAGUUGCUACCAUUUAGUUGAGCACUCUGGCGGAACCGCCUCGGAUAACGGGGAGGAAGGUGGGGAUGACGUCAAGUCCUCAUGGCCUUUAUGUCCAGGGCCACACACGUGCUACAAUGGGCGGUACAAAGCGCUGCCAACCCGCGAGGGGGAGCUAAUCGCCAAAAACCGUCCUCAGUUCGGAUUGCAGGCUGCAACUCGCCUGCAUGAAGCUGGAAUCGCUAGUAAUGCUAUAUCAGAACGAUAGCGUGAAUACGUUCCCGGGCCUUGUACACACCGGAGUA